GUGGUAUAUUGGAGGUAGCAAAAAGGUAAUAACAGUGGUUGUGUGGUGAUAAUUGUGGUGGUUGUCGAGUAGGUGCUGGUGGUUUAAGUGGUGGAGAAAGAGUAAGGGUAGUGUGUGUAUAUAUUUGGUACGAUUGCUCUAAUUGGGAUUUGAACUCAAGAUCUUACAAUCUUGAAAAACUUCUGUUCAAAUUUACUGAUAAAAUGAAUAUUGCAUUAAUUAAAAUAGGGUAUUA
rnacentral:misc_RNA from 1 species